GGCCUACUGGUGCUUAUGACAGGCUGUGUUCUUACACUGAAUAUACAGAAGGAGGAGCCAGAGUAAACCUACACCAUAUACACCUCCAGCUAUGCCCUCUGCCUCAUCUCUAUUGUGAAUGGGGGGACAUGG
ensembl:snoRNA